AGCCUUGAAGUCCGUGAGCUCGAUGGAGUCGGCGUUCGGUAUUACGCCGGAGCUGCUUAAGGCCAAAGAGGAGGAGGAGAUGAACGUGGCGUUGGUGGAGAUCCAGCUGAGAGACGAGGACAGCUUCCCCGCCCUCGGCGCUCAGUCCGGCCUGCAGGGAGACGGAGGGAAGAAGAAAGGAGGAGAGAAGAGAAGAUCUCAGAGGAACAAGACGGUACGUUCAUAAUCAUCCCCUCCACCUGGGAGGUCCUGUUGUCACCUGUGGCUCACACCACAGCUGUUGACACCUGAUGGAGGACAGACCACACACCUGUAGUGUCGGUCCAGGUGAGGGAGCAGAUCAGGAACGCUCUCACAAUAAGUCAUUGAAACAAGUCAGACGUGUCACUCGGGUCGACUGCAGGUCGGUUCAGUUGACGGUGAGUGUGAUGUCAUCAGUGAUGUCAUCAGUGAUGUGUUCAGGGACCUUCAUGAGAGUCAUUCCUUCAGAGGGUCUGUAGAAGUGAGCGUUAAAAGACUGACUAUUGGCAGGAUGUGAUGUUGUGUGAUGUUGUGUGAUGUUGUGUGAUGUUGUGUGAUGUUGUGUGAUGUUGUGUGUUGUGUGAUGUUGUGUGAUGUCACACUGAACAAUCCUUUCAUCUCGACACUAACUGUUUCCUCUGUGUUUCACAGAAGAGUCCGGUGGAGGACGUCAGAGCACCGUCGCCCUCUGCUGGAGAAAGACCCAAAUCCUCCACCCCCCCACCUGCAGACGCUGCUGCUGCUGCACCUCCCACCAACACUACUACACCCUCCAACCCCACCCCUCCUGCUGCUGCUCCACCUGUAACCUCCCACUCCAGUCCUGCCUGUCCGAGCUCGCUCAAGGCCUCAGCGCCCAACACAAAUAUGUCCGCUGCUACCACCACCACCCGCACCACCACCACCACCACCACUGCUGCUCCUGCUGCUCCUGCUGCUGCUCCAUCCUGUGCUGCCCCGACUAAAACAAGCACAUCCUCCUCAGCAGCUGGAGCUCCACUCGGUUCUCCUCCUGCUGCUGCCCCGAGCUCUAAGCCUCCUGUGAAAGGAGGAGCUGUUCCUCCCUCCGUCCCCUCCUCCGCCUGUCUCUUCUCCUUCCUCUUCCCUCCCUCCCUCCCCGCUGCUUCAUCACCCCCCACCCCUGGCGUCCUCUCCUCACCCUCUCCUCCUGCCUCGUCGUCUGCCUCACCUCCUCCGUCUUCUUCACUUCCACCUCCCACUUUCAUCGCUCCCAUCGCUCCCUCUCCUGCCGAGGCUCAGGGCAUCCUCCCCCGCUCCUCCCCACCCGUGUCUGCUCUCCGUCACUCCCCCAGUCCACCCACCACCUCCUCCUCCACCCACCUCCACCUCCCAGCUCCGUCAGGCUGCUCCCGACGCUCCACCAGUUUCAGCACCGACUCUGAAUUCUUUGACAAAUACUGGACCUGACCCGGCUGCACCUCAGACCCUGCAGAGUCCGGCCUCCCUGUCCCAGGUUCAUCCUCAGGUGUCCCAGACCCAAACCCAGUCCUCUCUGACCCAGAGUGAGAGCCAGACCCACCCGUCUC
rnacentral:lncRNA from 1 species